CGAGCGAAAGCGAGAAAGCGUUGCCAACGGCAACGACCCGAAGGGCGAAGCGCGCAGCGCUGAGUAAUCCUUCCCCCACCACCA
rnacentral:sRNA from 1 species